GAUGAACGCUGGCGGCGUGCCUAAUACAUGCAAGUCGAGCGAACAGACGAGGAGCUUGCUCCUCUGACGUUAGCGGCGGACGGGUGAGUAACACGUGGAUAACCUACCUAUAAGACUGGGAUAACUUCGGGAAACCGGAGCUAAUACCGGAUAAUAUAUUGAACCGCAUGGUUCAAUAGUGAAAGACGGUUUUGCUGUCACUUAUAGAUGGAUCCGCGCCGCAUUAGCUAGUUGGUAAGGUAACGGCUUACCAAGGCGACGAUGCGUAGCCGACCUGAGAGGGGGAUCGGCCACAUUGGAACUGAGCCACGGUCCAGACUCCUACGGGAGGCAGCAGUAGGGAAUCGUCCGCAAUGGGCGAAAGCCUGACGGAGCAACGCCGCGUGAGUGAUGAAGGUCUUCGGAUCGUAAAACUCUGUUAUGAGGGAAGAACAAAUGUGUAAGUAACUAUGCACGUCUUGACGGUACCUAAUCAGAAAGCCACGGCUAACUACGUG
rnacentral:rRNA from 1 species